UACAAUGCAGUGUUUAUUCCUUCCCCCACCCCGUCGAGGUUUCGCUGAUUCAGGUUGUGGGCAUCACAAAAUUCGACAGCUACAUAGAAGCAGCCAGCGGUUCCCUGGAAUUGGCAUGGAUGCAUAGAAUGGUAUCUGACUUCGAAAGAUUAGCAAAUCAGAGCAGCCGGCAUUUCUUGGGCGGGGGCAACUUGAGCUUCUUCGCAGACGCAGCAGAAAAAA